rnacentral:rRNA from 1 species
CCUACGGGAGGCAGCAGUGAGGAAUAUUGGUCAAUGGGCUUACGCCUGAACCAGCCAAGUCGCGUGAGGGAAGACUGCCCUAUGGGUUGUAAACCUCUUUUGUCAGGGAGCAAUUGGCGCUACGUGUAGCGUUAUCGAGAGUCCCUGAAGAAAAAGCAUCGGCUAACUCCGUGCCAGCAGCCGCGGUAAUACGGAGGAUGCGAGCGUUAUCCGGAUUGAUUGGGGUUAAAGGGUGCGUAGGCGGAAUGCCAAGUCAGCGGUAAAAUCGCGGGGCUCAACCUCGCUCCGCCGUUGAAACUGGCGUUCUUGAGUGGGCGAGAAGUAUGCGGAAUGCGUGGUGUAGCGGUGAAAUGCAUAGAUAUCACGCAGAACUCCGAUUGCGAAGGCAGCAUACCGGCGCCCAACUGACGCUGAAGCACGAAAGCGUGGGUAUCGAACAGGAUUAGAUACCCGGGUAGUC